rnacentral:lncRNA from 1 species
GGUUUUUGUGUUUUUGCUUUUAGGAAUGUUGAUAUGGAUGUUAAUUUAUUGGGUAAAUUUCACUACAUAGAUUUCUGAUAAAUACAACACUUUCUAUGUGGUUUCAGAAAUAAUAAUGAACUCCAAUUAAUAUCAAGAUUCCUCAUGUAAGUCAUUUUUGUGCGAAAAUAUCAAACUUGCCAUUUAAUUUAGGUUUCUAUUAUUUCUCUUAAUAUACCCAUUAAAAUAAAUAAACAUUCUCUCUUUUUUAAAUUAUUAAUAACUUUUUAAAUUAUUAAUAAAUAUUUUAUUUUUUAAGUAUGUUUAAAUUUGUGGCACUUAAAAAAAACUAUUUCGAUCAUUUUUUUAAAAAAUGUUGAUAAUAAAUUUUUAUCUUUUAAAUACAUUUUUCAUUAGGAGUACUUAAAAAUAAACUAUUUAGAUCAUUUUUUUUAAAAAAAAUAUUUAUUGAUAAAAAUAUAAAUAAAAUAUUUUAUAAAUAAAUAAUGUUUUGAGAAAAAUAUGAAAAUAUUAAUUUAUUUUAUUGGGUGUAUUGAGAAAAAAAUUUGAAAGUCUUAAAUCAAAGUACAAGUUUGUCAUUUUUGCACAAAAAUGAGCUUUAGGGGAUCUUGACAUUAGUUUCAAAAGUAAGAGAGUUCAGUAUUAUUCUGAAACUAAAGGGGAAUGGUUGUAUUUGUUAAAAACAUCGGGGUGGUCAUUGAAAUUUACCAUAAUUUUUUUUUUCUGUGAAUGAUGAUGAAAGAUAUACCAACCCCUGAACAGAUUUUGAAGUCCCUAUGUGCACUUCUCUAUACUAUGAACUCGUGUGAAAGUGUGGGUCUCAGCACGUGGUGACCAUGAAUUUGCAGACGAUUUGAACUUAGCAAAGGUAAAAUCACACUUUGCCCCCCUUAAAGUGUUGAUAAUUUGAACUUCUCACAUUUGCCAUUGAGCCAGGGAAUUGAUUGUAAUCAGGAUCAUUCACUAAUGCCAUCCAAGUUGGUGAUGGAAAAUGCCUCCUGACAUUAACGAAAGGGCAUUUAUGGAACUCACCACCUUUAUUCCGCCCAAACCCAAACAAACCACGCUGUCACCUUCACCACCAACUCCCCAUCUAACCGAAUCACCACCACCGCCACCACCACCACCAAUAAUUCAAAACACACGCAGGGGAGGAGGGACUGCAAUUGUUACCUGGAUUGAACUGUUGUCACUUGAAUCAAACCAAUUAGGGUUAAGAAUUAGUAAUUUCAUCAGAUUUUUUUGAACGUGUACAUAAUAACACAAUUAGGGGUGUCAAAUACUAUAACUUUGGUGUGUGAACUCUCGUAGUUUUGAAAUUAUAUAAGAAAUUAUAGCAUACUAGGUGGUGGUAUUCGUCCCCCCCCCCUAGAUUUUUGGGGUUCAAUCGCCCCACGUCCUCUUGGAUUCAUCCCAGGAGGUGCAGAUAUAUUUGCUUGCCAUGGCCAAUUUUAACAUUCUCAUUUUUCUUGAUUAAUGUUCUCAG